UACAGAGGUCUCGAGCGUUGUUCGGAUUCAUUGGGCGUAAAGGGUGCGUAGGCGGUAGACUAAGUUUGGUGUGAAAUCCUGGGGCUUAACCCCAGAAUUGCACUGAAUACUGGUUUGCUGGAGGACUGGAGAGGAGAUUGGAAUUCACGGUGUAGCAGUGAAAUGCGUAGAUAUCGUGAGGAAGACCAGUGGCGAAGGCGAAUCUCUGGACAGUUCCUGACGCUGAGGCACGAAGGCCAGGGGAGCAAACGGGAUUAGAAACCCCAGUAGUCC
rnacentral:rRNA from 1 species